AUUCCGGAGAGGGAGCCUGAGAAAUGGCUACCACUACUAAGGGAGGCAGCAGGCGCGCAACUUACCCAAUCCUGACGCAGGGAGGUAGUGACGAAACAUACCACGGCCUAGACCGAACAGGUCAUGGCUACGGAAUGCAUUCAAUCUAAAACGUUGAGUGAGGAACAAUUGGAGGGCAAGACUGGUGCCAGCAGCCGCGGUAAUACCAGCUCCAAUAGCAUAUACUAGUAUUGUUGCGGUUAAAACGUUCGUAGUCGAAUUUAAUGCUCUGAGGCCGCAUACCGCCUCGAGUUACUGCCGUUGUAUCACUGAGGGGACAACACGACUCCAGCUCUUUGGAAGAGUAGAACCCAACGCGAUGCAGCGGUUGGUUACCUUGAGUAAAUUUUAGUGUUCAUAGCAAGCACCAUGUGCUUUGGAUACAACAGCAUGGGAUAACACCACAGGAACUUCGACUCGGGUAGCGUUGGAAGACGAGGACGAAGGAAAGUUUAAUAGGAGCAGUCGGGGGUAGUCGUAUUUCGAUGCUAGAGGUGAAAUUCUUUGACCAUCGAAGGACGCACGACAGCGAAAGCAUCUACCAAGAAUGUUUUCAUUGAUCAAGAACGAAAGUUGGGGUAGCAAAGACGAUUAGGCACCGUCGUAGUCCCAACCGUAAACGAUGCCGACUAGGGGUUGGUGGACGUUCUUAUCGAUAGCUCCAUCAGCACCUUAUGAGAAAUCACAAGCUUCUGGGUUCCGGGGGGAGUACGGUCGCAAGGCUGAAACUUAAAGG
rnacentral:rRNA from 1 species